rnacentral:rRNA from 1 species
CCUACGGGGGGCAGCAGUGGGGAAUAUUGCACAAUGGGGGAAACCCUGAUGCAGCGACGCCGCGUGAGUGAAGAAGUAUUUCGGUAUGAAAAGCUCUAUCAGCAGGGAAGAGAAUGACGGUACCUGAGUAAGAAGCCCCGGCUAAAUACGUGCCAGCAGCAGCGGUAAUACGUAGGGGGCAAGCGUUAUCCGGAUUUACUGGGUGGAAAGGGAGCGUAGACGGCGAAGAAAGGCUGAAGUGAAAGCCCGCGGCUCAACCGCGGAACUGCUUUGGAAACGUUUUUGCUGGAGUGCCGGAGGGGUAGGUGGAAUUCCUAGUGUAGCGGUGAAAUGCGUAGAUAUUAGGAGGAACACCAGUGGCGAAGGCGGCCUACUGGACGGUGACUGACGCUGAGGCUCGAAAGCGUGGGGAGCAAACAGGAUUAGAUACCCCUGUAGUC